UUUUUUCCUCCGAAUCUUUGCUGUUGUGAUUUAUGGGUGGAUUUUGCAUUGAUUGUUGCCGGCAGAGCCGAUGGUAUUUGGGCUUCUGUCAUUGUUAUUGGGUUAGCGGACUGAGUGGGUGGGUCUCAAGGAUUUGCAUCAAAGAGAAGGCACUGAGCAUCCUCUUCUAUCCUCGUGCGAAAGAAGAUUUCGAGGAUCAUAUGUCACAACCGAUCGGGGUUCCGUCGGUUGGAGAGACAUGGGUUCUGCGCUGAGCGAUGAUGUCAAGAAGUGAAGAUUUAACCACAGCUUGUCCAUGUGAAGAAGGCCAAUGAGAAGGGACAAAUAGGAAAGUGAGCAAAAUGAAAUGAAAGUACCGUCAAGAAAUGCCCGAUUUGCACCAUAAGAAGGCAGUUCUCUCUUAGGAAAUGUCUAGCUUUGCAUUUCAUAUUGCCAAAUUUCCUGCUUGUUUCCCAAGUGACUUAUACUGUAGUGUUAGUCAUGAACUAGCAUGCUUGCACUUUGAGAACCUCAUUAUGGUCUUGCAGAUAAUUUAAUAAUGCUUAUGCUAGAACGCUUGUUGGUUUACAUUUUGCGAUGGACUUAGAUAUAGAUAUGUUCUUUUGAACUCUUAAAUUCUAUCAUUCCUAGGAAUAAAAUAUCCAUGAGAAGCUAUUGUCACGUUGAUAAGUUGAGAGGGUAUGUUGUCAGUGUAAGUUCUAUAUUUUUUCUUUGGGAGAAAACUUCAAUUUGACUUA